AUUAUCUCAUUAAUAUAUUGUAUAUAAUUAUAUUAUUAUUAUAUUAUCAUAUUAUUAUUAUAGUAUAUUAUAUUAUUCAUCAUUCAUGACUACAUUGAAACUAGAAUAGAGAGAAAUCAGCAUGGAAACCUUGUGAAACCUAAACUGCAAGAGGUACCAUAGACUGUUGUACAUGUAAAUAAUGGUAGUAACAAGAAAUUCUUGAUAGGAUUCAUAGUUUGUCUGUUAUGCUGGUUUGUGAUGACAACUACUUUACAGUAUAUAAUAAAUGUUCAUUUUGUUGUUCAACAAUAAAUGUGAGCUCUUCUUCAUGGAAAAAUAAGACAUCCCCUGAAAAUAAGACCUAGUGCAUCUUUGGGAGCAAAAAUUAAUAUAAGACCCUGUCUUAUUUUUGGGGAAACAGGGUAUGUUGUUUUGCUGUUUGUCCCCUGUUCAGAAGAUUUCACUUCACUUUUUGCCCCUGUGAUAAGAUUUUGAAAAAUGUGGCUUGUUUUAGAAAGCAGGAUUCACCAAUCCUGCUUUCUAAAAUAAAGCUUCCCUGAGAUGAUAACUCUUUCAGCAGUGAAUUUCCCUUCUGAGGGGUAGAUUACUUUCACUUCCUGUUGUUUGUCCCCACUCUUAACUAUGAAUUGUUUCUAAGUUGGAUGAUUGUUACUUGGGAACUGCAUGUGGACAUCCAAGUGAUUUGUGAUAUUUGUGAUAUUUCCUUCUUGUCCCGUACUAUGACUUUAUGUGAGUCUGGCCAUCAUGGUAUGCAUAUAGCAAAAUAUUUCUGAGCACAAUUUAGAAAAGAGUGUGGCCUCUUUUGCUGUAGUAGUUGGCCAUUACUGCCCUGGAGCCUUCUCAUCAUCCAUUCUUUUAAGCAGCUAAGCUUAUUAAUACAUAAUGGAAUGCUUCAUCAGAGAUUCUGCUUACAUCAGGUCUUACUGGAAUAUAUGGAUCUACUUUGUUCUUCAGAGCCCUUAUUCAUCCUCGAGUUAUUUCUCUUUAGAUCUGUGGGUAAGUUAUUUCUCAAGAGAUAUCCUUAGGCAACUAUGGUCCGUUUAAUCAUCCACUGAAGCAAUUGGCACAGAAGUUAACAAUUGCAGAGUUAGUCACAAUAGCCUAACACUAAUUGCUAAUUCUAACUAGAGUAGAUAUACUGAAUCAAAGUGUUGACUUACCAAGGUUCAAUGUAUUCAAUACAUUUAUUCUGAUUGGGACUGCCAACUGAAUUUAAUCCAAUUUAUCAUUUGUUUUUAUUAGGAGAUGUGGUGGUGUAAUGGGUUAAACCCUUAUGCCGGCUGGACUGCUGACCUGAAGGUUGGGUCGAUGAUCUAAAGGUUGCCAGUUUGACUCUGUGAGACGGGAUGGUUGCACUAGAGGCGGGAGGAGGCAAUCCUGUGUGAUGGGGAAAAUGCAUAAAGAUGUGGGUGAACUAUGCAGAAGAUAUUGAGGAUAAAGUUCCAAUUUAAACUUGAAUACUUUCUACUGGGAAUGACGGACAUGACCCUCGACACAAACCAAGAAACUUUAUUCAAUUACUUAAUCACAGCAGCGAGAUUAACAUAUACUCUAAAAUGAAAGAAUAAAGAGACCACAACGACAGGUGAAUGGGUAAUCAAAAUGGUCGAUAUAAUGAAUAUAGAUUGCAUAACACAUUACUUGAAGAAACAGCAUGGAACGAAGAUUAGAACUACAAACUGGACUUUAUUUAAAGAUUACCUAAAACAAGAAAACAUGAAGAUGAUAUUAUAGAAGAAAUGAUAAAGAAAACAACUAGAAGAUGAAAAAGUGAACUUGGAGCUGGAGUACAAUUAUAAGAAGGAAAGAAGAUAAAAUAGAUUAAUCCUAAUAAGGGAGAUUACCUGACAGAAGAGAUUGGAAGUCAAAAACUCCCCACCGCCCUUAUUACCUUGCUCUUUCCACCCCUAUCCAUACCCCUACCCACCUCCCUUCCCUUCCCACCUUUUUCUCUAUAUACUCCCCAAUCUACUUUUUCCUUUUCUCCUAUGUAAAUACAAUUUUUAUUUAAUAAACAUUACUUUUUAAAAA